rnacentral:lncRNA from 1 species
AAUAGUCUAUUUCUCCCCCAAAGGUUCUUCUCCAAACCCUUCUUCUUCUCUAUCCCUUAUCUCUAUCCCAACUCUUUUCCCUAACCCUCACCUCUCGAUCCUCAUCUGUCUAUCUCUCUACUUCUAUUUCUCUUCUCUCUAUCUCAAUCCCAAUUUCUAUCGCUAUUUUCUUACCUCUCUAGCCUCGGUUACCGAUUACGUUACCUCGGAUCCGCGACCAGAAGCACCAAGAACAGCAAUAUACAAGCCC